GUUGUAUUGAAUGGAUUAUUUUUUAAUAUUUCUCGUAGUUUACUUAAAAAUCCAGUGAAAAAACACUCAAGCAAACGGGAAUAUUUGUGCAAUAACAAUAUCUUUUAUUUUUAAUUUUGGUUUUUAGUUGCAAGUAAAACAGUAAAAAUAAUAACCAUAACGUGGUUAAAUUUUCUGAAAAUUCUUGUUGAGUUAUUUAUAGCAUU